rnacentral:rRNA from 1 species
AACGGCUACCACAUCCAAGGAAGGCAGCAGGCGCGCAAAUUACCCACUCCCGGCACGGGGAGGUAGUGACGAAAAAUAACGAUACGGGACUCUUACGAGGCCUCGUAAUCGGAAUGAGUACACUUUAAAUAUUUUAACGAGGAACAAUUGGAGGGCAAGUCUGGUGCCAGCAGCCGCGGUAAUUCCAGCUCCAAUAGCGUAUACUAAAAUUGUUGCGGUUAAAAAGCUCGUAGUUGCAUUUGUGCGCCGCGCUGUCGGUGCACCGCAUCCGCGGUGAUACUGACACGUUUGCGGAGCAUAUCGUCGGUGAGCCGGCGGUAAAACGCCGGUUCAAUAUCAAAAUCCUAUCGCGGUGCUCUUCGGUGAGUGUCGAGGUGGGCCGACAAUUUUACUUUGAACAAAUUAGAGUGCUCAAAGCGGGCUCAAAAUGCUGCUUGAAUAUUUCGUGCAUGGAAUAAUAGAAUAUGAUCUCGGUUCUAUUUUGUUGGUUUUCAGAACUCCGAGGUAAUGAUUAAUAGGGAUAACUGGGGGCAUUCGUAUUGCGACGUUAGAGGUGAAAUUCUUGGAUCGUCGCAAGACGAACAUCAGCGAAAGCAUUUGCCAAAGGUGUUUUCAUCAAUCAAGAACGAAAGUUAGAGGUUCGAAGGCGAUUAGAUACCGCCCUAGUUCUAACCGUA